rnacentral:lncRNA from 1 species
GAUAAUGGGGUAAAGGAAAUGGAAGAAGAUAAGAAAAAUGAUGAGAAAGUUGAGACUGAGAAGAUGGAUGAAGACCAACCGGUCAAGGAUGACACAGAAAGCAAAGAGACGGAAAAAGAAGAAAAGGAGGAACCUAAAACUGAAGCGAUGGAAGAAGAAACCAAUGCAAAAGAAGAUGUUAGGAAAGUUGCGGACGAUGAAAACAAAGAUGAGGAGGAGGAGAAGGUGGAUGAGUUGAAAGAAGAAGAUGAAGAAGAGCAGGAAGAGAAGGCUGAAGAAGAGCCGAAAGAAGAAGAAGAUGAAGAGGAACAUGAAGAAAAGGAUGGAGAUGAUGAAGAGAAGGAUGGGGAUGAUGAAGAGGAACAAGAAGAGAAGGCUGAAGAAAGUGAGGAGGAAAAAGGUUCAAAGAAGCGUGGGAAAGGUAAAAAAACUGAGGAGAAAGUUAAGGGGAAGACAAA